CCCAGGGCCUGCUUUCCGGGCUCUGGCAGGCGGCUGCGGUGAAUGAGCCCAUGCAGGCUGGACCUAUUGCAUGCCGGUGCUUGCUGGGCACUACGAGAUAACCUGGAAGAACCAAAUCCAUUUCAUGUGGCUGUCAGCCGCGGCGUGUACCCUCCAGAGCCAGGGAGCACAUCACAUCUCAGGGCAGACUCUUCCAUCGUGGACCAGCUCCAAUCAUUCGAAAGUUCUGCUUUAUUCUAUACAGUGAGCCAACUUUCCGCGUCUCAGGACCUUCCACUCCAGAAGGCAUACCUAUCCACGGGAACAAAGAGAACAUAUGAGGAAAUAGCAGCAGGUCUCCUACCCCAACUGGCACAGACAGCACGUGACCUCUCCCCUCCACAGCACUUCUGCUGUGGGAGAGGCCGGAAGAUGGUCAUCUGAGAUAACAUUCACCCAAGGCUAAGCACAGAGCCUGGAAUAUAGUAGGUCUUUGCUGAGACAGUCUUGCGACAGCACACAAAAAUACACAACAACAUUAAUGAACGCCACUCAGCAAGACACUGCCACACAUCAACAGGAAAACAGCCGUGAGACACGAAUACUGAGCUGUUUGUACAGUGCUGCCAAUGGAAGCGCCUGGUGGCAAGUUUGCGAAUGUAAUUGCCAGACCUCGUAUAUCUCAGGAGCUUGAG